UUGUGGCCAUGCCUCAUGAUGUAAUGUAUUCUGGAACUUUCUCUGUCAUUUUAUGAAGCUUACCACGGGUUCCACCCCCCUCCCCUUACACAUGUACAACCACACUUGGCUGUUAAUAUAACUGUUCCCAAAUUUGUUACCUGUAUCUAUAGCAUUCAAUCCUAAUUGUAACUUGCUACUUAUACAUGCUAUACCAACGCUAAUCACAUUUUGUUACUUGUAUCAACAGCACUCAAUAUUAAUUACAGUUUAUUAAUUGUAUUAACAACAUUUAACCUUGCAUACAUUGUUAACUACCUUCCCCAAAAGUUUAAAUUUUAUUUUUGUUCAUAACAAUUGCUCAUCUUACAGAGAUUAAAUGGUUUUGGGUUUGUAAGUAAGACAUGUUAUACACUUCUGGUUUUACACUAACAUGUCUUACACCAAAUGCUGUCUCCUAGAAAAAUUAACAAAGCUUUCAUUAGGAAACCUAUCUCCUUUCUAUGUGAAUGUUUCACAGACCACUUAAAAACCCCUUCUAAACAUCAUUCACUUCAAGACAGCUGGCGGCCAAAGGCAGAGAUUGGAACUCGAUUAAACAUCAGAUCUACACAGACCACAGCCAGAAAUGUCACAGCAGGGUUUCCCGAGUGGGGAGAGGCUGGUGAAAACCCCGUGGGCAUCCCGGUGUGAAUGCCACUCCCCCUGCCAUGUUUCGGAGGGGACUUCCGGGAGCUGUGGCCCUCCUUCCCACGGGAUGGGCAGCCUGCAGGCGGGAGGACCGGCGGCAGGGACCGGGACAGCGAGACCAGAGGCUGGGAUGGAUGUAUGAAUGGAUGCGCUGCCGCCGCGCCAGCCGAGUUCUGCCAAACACCUGUCCUCAGGUUCCAGCUCGAGAGGCUGAACUGGGCUCCCGCCCGCCUGGAGGGUCCGGAGAGAAAACGAAAAACUUCUUCUCAGAAUUACAGACUAUUCUGAGUUGGAAAGGGAGCCACCAGCAUCGUGGGGUCUGACUUGUCCUACUCGCCCUGCCCCAGAUGAGUUUGCUCCCAGACGAGGGUUUUUUGGGUUUUUUUUGUUUGUUUGUUUGUUUGUUUUGGUGGUUGUUUUGGGGUUUUUUGGGGUUUUGCUUUUGUUUUUUGUUUUUUGGUUUUUUUGUUUGUUUGUUUGUUUUGGUUUGGUUUGGUUUGGUUUUUUUUCUUUCUUGAGAGAGAGGAAUGAUUCCCCAUGCCUUCUACGCUCCCACUUCUAAAAACAGAUCAUAAAUUAUGCAAAGGAGGUACAAACAAACAAAAGAAAUAAACGAGUUGGCUAUUUUUAA